CAGAGCAUUUUGUACCUAGUAGUGGGGCGGGUCAUGUUUGGAGGGUCUGAGCCUAACGAACAUGAGGAAUCCCCGCCACAAUGACUGCACUGUAGUCAGUCACAUGACCUGGUGACGUUGUCAGGGGAACUCGCGGCGGGAACACGGCUCUGCUCUCUGUGCUUAUGGGGAACGAAAGACACACUACGGAGCGAUCACGUGUCACCGCCCAGUCUCCUCCCCCGAGUGAACCCGCUGAUUGUGGCGUGGAGUGCUCGUGCACGGGACCAGCGGGAAAAAUCAGAAGCGCCGCGGUCGCUGAGUGUCCGGCAGACAGUGAGAGUUUUGCUGAAAGCUGCGAUCCGUGAGAGACCUGAGAAGAUCAGGACAAUUGAGCAAGAUACCCACUAAGAAUAUUAGAAGAUGUUAUGGAAAGGGACAUUGUUCUCUGAUCAAGCCAACUAAAGACGUCAUUUCUUCCUACACUUCUGGAGGAUUCACAAAAGAUGCUCUCAUUUUCUGGAUAGAAGAAACUUUCUACAAAUAUUUUUCUUUCCAUCUAAUACAUGAUGAGUCUCACAGGAGCGAAACUACAUGUGUGCUCUGAGUGUGACAAAAGCUUUACAUAUAAAUCAAGGCUUCUUAAUCACCAGAGGAAUCAUACACGCAAGAAGCCAUUCACAUGUUCUGAGUGCAGCAAAUGUUUUCCCAUUAAGUCACUUCUUGUUCUACAUCAGAGGAGUCACACUGGAGAGAAGCCAUAUGUGUGCUCUGAGUGUGACAAAAGCUUUACACAUAAAUCAUAUCUUCUCAGACAUUACAGUAUUCACACAGGAGAGAAACCAUUUACAUGUUCUGAGUGCAGCAAGUCUUUUACUCGAACAGCAACUCUUUAUAUUCAUCAAAGGAGUCACACAGGAGAGAAACCAUUUACAUGUUCUGAAUGUAGCAUGUGUUUUACCUCCAAGCCAUAUCUUCUUAGACAUCAGAUGACUCACACAGGAGCGAAACCAUUUAAAUGCUCUGAAUGUAGCAAAUAUUUUUCCCAUAAGGCUCCUCUUAUUAAACACCAGAGGAUUCACACAGGAGAGAAGCCAUUUAAAUGUUCUGAAUGCAGCGAUUGUUUUACCAAUAAAUCGCAUCUUGUUAGUCAUCAGAUGACUCACACAGGAGAGAAACCAUUUAAAUGCUCUGAAUGUAGCAAGUGUUUUUCCCGUCCGUUUCAUCUCAAUAGACAUCAGAGGAUUCACACAGGAUAGAAACCAUUUCAUUACUUUGAAUGUAGAAAGUGUUUUACCAAUAAAAUCACAUCUUGUUCUACAUCAGAGGAGUCACACAGGAGAGAAACCAUUUACAUGUUCUGAAUGUAGCAAGUGUUUUUCCCGUAUGUUUCAUCUCUUUAGACAUAACGAGUCAUGGGAGUAAAAAUGUUGAAAUAGAAAGCCAGUACUUAUCAGAUGAGGAGUCUUUCUGAAAUACUGAAUGUUUUAUGCGUUUCAUAAGUCUGCUAACUUGUAUCAUGACAAUAUGUAUUCCAGGGAAGCAAUAUUUGUUUUCUGAAUAUGGCAAGUGUUUAUAUAAUCAGUUUUGAUAAAGACAGGAGAGGUCUGACAACUGGGCUUGAGGGCAUUUUCCCUCUGGGACAGUCUCAUUAUUAGGAGCUAGAAUUGCAGUAUAACAGACAAUAGUGAUGGCGGUGUUAUUACUGAGAUCUGUAAUCUACAGCUGUACUGCUCACCCAGGUGCUGGGACUAGCAGAUGGAAGCUUCCUAUCCAGUAGUGAAUACCAGGAGCUUCUCUAAGUACUGAGAUUCCUUCGAUGACGGGCAGAGCUUUAAGUCCUGUAUAUUUCUACAGGAACUCUGCACACUGGCAUGUUUUAUCUUACAGGUCUCAUCUGGGGGUAUGUUUACUAAAAUGGGAGUUCUAUUUAAGAUGGGAUGUUGCCCAUAGCAACCAGUCAGAUUCCAGGUGUUAUCUUCUAGAAGGUGCUAAAUAAAUUAGAAGUAAAAUCUGAUUGGUUGCUACGGGCAACAUCCCAUUUUAAAUAGAACGCCCAUCUUAGUAAAUUUACCCCCUGGUCUCUGAUACCUCAUUUUUCUUUCCCUUAUACCUUUCUCUUACCUUAUCUCCCUCUAUUUAAAAAAAAAAAAAAAAUGAUAUUGCAGAAUGGUGCAAUAAAGAAACUGGUCACCUGUUUCCCAUAAUAACUUAUCCUUAUAACCUAUUUUAGCUUGCUGCCAGUAGCCUGCUAAUAGCUGAUAUCUGGUUACUAUGGGUUGUAGCACAUUCUUGUUUUUCACACCAUGCUAUUAAAUAAGUCCCUAGUAGACCAAAUUGUGCACCAGGCUAAUAUUAAAUAUCUUUCAUAAUACAUUCUUUUAAACUAUUAUCUCAUAAAAAGUAUACAUAAUACUAUGAUAUAGUACAUAAUGAUCUGUCCUGCUCGUAGACUAAAGGACAUGUUCAAAUAAUAGCUGUAGUAACCAUAUAUGUUGCUAGCAGCUGUCCUCAUAACACUUGAUGAAUAAAAACUGAUCUGGAUUAAUGUUUUCAUUUUUAAAUUGUAAAACUAAGGUUAUUCUUUAAUAUUAAAUAAUUUUGUACAUA